ACAUCAUCCGCAAUUUUCUUGUGAUGGUCGGCCAUAAGUGCUCCGAUCGCCUCCAUUGUGACAGGGGUGUGAGGCUUAGUGGAUGGCUGCGCUUGGGUUGGUGGUUGGGUCGGCAUGUACUCCAGGGGGUCUCCCCCAUCAUCCUCCGAUGAUCCGUCAGUGAAGUCUGAGCAGCCUCCAUGCAGGGACGCCAUCUUGGCUCCUGCAGCAUCGUGCGCCUGCCUCCAUAACUCUCCGAUAUCCAUGCCC